GAUGAACGCUAGCGACAGGCCUAACACAUGCAAGUCGAGGGGCAGCAGGAAGUAGCAAUACUUUGCUGGCGACCGGCGCACGGGUGCGUGACGCGUAUGCAACCUGGCUCGAACAGGGGAACAGCCUUCCGAAAGGAAGAUUAAUACCCCGUACGAAACUCCCCCGCAUGAGAGAGUUUGGAAAGAAGCAAUUCGGUUCGAGAUGGGCAUGCGUCCCAUUAGCUAGUUGGCGGUGCAACGGACCACCAAGGCGACGAUGGGUAGGGGUUCUGAGAGGAAGGUCCCCCACACUGGUACUGAGACAGGGACCAGACUCCUACGGGAGGCAGCAGUGAGGAAUAUUGGUCAAUGGACGCAAGUCUGAACCAGCCAAGUCGCGUGCAGGAAUAAGGCCCUAUGGGUCGCAGACUGCUUUUGCAUGAGAAUAAAAAGUGGGACGAGUCCCACCCUGUAGGUAUCAUGCGAAUAAGGAUCGGCUAACUCCGUGCCAGCAGCCGCGGUAAUACGGAGGAUCCGAGCGUUAUCCGGAUUCAUUGGGUUUAAAGGGUGCGCAGGCGGGUCUGUAAGCCCGUGGUGAAAGCCUGGUGCUCAACGCCAGAGGUGCCGCGGGAACUGCAGGUCUUG
rnacentral:rRNA from 1 species